UUUCACACUGAAGCAAACAGGAAACACACCCAAAGAUUUCACAUCAAUGUUAAGAUGUAAUACACAUUGACAAAGUACCUCAAAGCCCCACAACCUCUUCUGGGUCCCUCUCACGAUGAAGCUCCCAGACCUGAUUGAUCUUAGUUUCAUAUUGAUCCUGGUCUCUAAUUCAAAAGGUAAAAACUGGACUGUUACUGUCGACAGAAGGAUUGAUGCAACACCGGGUUCAAACGUGACCAUACCAUGUUACUUUACCUAUCCAGUCAAAUACCACACUGAAGAUGUUCAAGUUCACUGGAAAGUAAAAAAUAACCUUACUGGCUUCAACGAAAAACUAAAUGCAUUUGUUUUCCACCCAAAUGACACAUAUGUGCUUGAGAAGUACAGAGGAAAGACCAAACUCACUGGAGAUAAAGCCAAAGGUGACUGCACCCUGAAGAUCUUUAAAAUCUUGGAGUAUGAAAAAAAUAUCUAUGUGAGAGUUCUUGCAAAGGACAAUUACAGUUUCAAGAAAGAUUUGGUCACCAUUGGUGUGUCUGGUAAGAAUUUCAAUAAAACAUUUAUGAACAAAUAAAUAAAUACACACACACACACACACACACACACACAUACAUACAUACAUAUAUAUACAUAUUUGUUUGAGUAAAGGGAAAUUUGUAUAAUACCUUACAUGUUUCUCCCACUGUGCCAGGUAAUAAAUCAGUCAGUCUUAAGCCAGAUUUCAUACCAAUACCAUCACCCACCUUUGAAACAACAGAAUACAUGGCGGUUUUCUCCACAGUGGGUACGCCCAGGGAGGCUUCCCUGUAUAUGGCUAUCUUUGUUCCAGUCGCUGCACUUCUGAUCAUUAUUUUUGUCAUUGCAAUCGUCCUUUGCCUAAAAAAAAGAAGGUCACAAUCUUUUACCAGGGAGGAGUCUGGAUAUUAUGAAAAUGUUAGCCGAGCAUCAUCAAACCAAGCCAAAAGAAAAACAUCUUGUACAACACAAGAUAACAAGAAACUUUCUGAACUGAAGGCCAUUGAUGAACCUGUCUACAUCAACAUUGAGGCUAUACCAGGUCAGAUGGAUCAAAGUAUGGAUCACACAGACAAUACAUACGGAAAUGUGGAUUAUGAAAAGUAGCAGAAAAGCUGCAUC